ACGCUAGAGGGCAAUGUUGAACAUUCAAUGGCCACAUCAGCGGUGUUUCGCAAGCAGUGAACUACGGGUGGCGAGGGACACCAAAACAGAAGGUCAGCUGUAAGUUAGGUAACGUGUGGAAGUGUUUUAAUGUCAAGAACUCCAGCACUUGAAAAUGAACAAUGAUACCAACGAGGUGAUGAUACUCGCACGCGUGUUCUACCGGUGAUAUUGUUGUUUCAGACCAAGAAACACAUCCACGUACACCAGGACUAGACAUCUGAUGAUCAAACCAACCUUAGACAUUGCAUAAGUCUCAUUCAGCCAGAGGACCAUGGCCCGCCACAGCAAGCUGCAGAAGCAAAUUCUGUCGCUGUACAGAGAGUUCAUGCGCGCUGGACGCGAGAAGCCAGGCUUCAUCCCUCGGAUUCGAGACGAGUUCAGAGAAAACUCCCGCAUCAAGAAGACGGAUGUGAUGCACAUAGAAUACCUGUACCGACGCGCUCAGAGACAGCUUGAGCAGCUGAAAGAUGUGAACACUAAACAACUAGGAUCCUUUUCAAGGGAGAAUAAAAAGGGAGAAGGGGACAGCUGAUGUAGAACUCAAUGUGACAUCCCCCUUGCUAGUCUUACCAUCAUGUGGCCUUCCCAGCCAUAUAACGCUCCAGACAAUGUAUUUUUUGUACAUUGACUGGAGCUUUACGGAUGUCAAGGCCAGGGUAUCUCUUGUAGAGUUCUACUGUUGCUAAGAUUUGGUGUGGACAUUCACAUCGUUGCUGACUGCCUCAUAUCAUUGGAGACCAUACACAAGGGAUGUAGCCUACUUCAAUGUACCAUGUGUCUUUUUUUGUUAAAUCCUGCAUAGAAAAUGUAUAGCAGGAUUUAAACUGACCAUUAACCUGGGGACCGUUAUCUCUGGAGAAGUCUACUGAUCAAUGCCAUGUGUUUUAAAGUGUAGGAAAAUAAACUGUGCACUUGGGCACCAGAUCA